UAGGGAAUAUUGGACAAUGGGCGCAAGCCUGAUCCAGCCAUGCCGCGUGAGUGAAGAAGGCCCUCGGGUUGUAAAGCUCUUUUGUCCGGAAAGAAAAGCAUCGGGCUAAUACCCUGGUGUUCUGACGGUACCGGAAGAAUAAGCACCGGCUAACUUCGUGCCAGCAGCCGCGGUAAUACGAAGGGUGCAAGCGUUACUCGGAAUUACUGGGCGUAAAGCGUGCGUAGGUGGUUUGUUAAGUCUGAUGUGAAAGCCCUGGGCUCAACCUGGGAAUGGCAUUGGAAACUGGCGGACUCGAGUGCGGUAGAGGGGUGUGGAAUUCCCGGUGUAGCAGUGAAAUGCGUAGAGAUCGGGAGGAACACCAGUGGCGAAGGCGACACCCUGGACCAGCACUGACACUGAGGCACGAAAGCGUGGGGAGCAAACAGGAUUAGAUACCCUGGGUAGUCCACGCCCUAAACGAUGCGAACUGGAUGUUGGGUGCAACUUGGCACUCAGUAUCGAAGCUAACGCGUUAAGUUCGCCGCCUGGGGAGUACGGUCGCAAGACUGAAACUUAAAUGAAUUGACGGGGUCAUAGCUGUUUCCG
rnacentral:rRNA from 1 species